rnacentral:lncRNA from 1 species
CAGCAGCCUGCCUAUUGUGUCAUGAUAUGGAAACAUUUGUUUUUUUCUGCUUUUUUCUUCUCCCUCAGGUCCUAUAAAUUCAGAUCCUUCCUUUGCGGCUUCUAUUUCUUCCUGGUCACUCGCAUCUCGCUUGUUCCUCUGACCCACGCAGCCCUUGUAGCACCUGGAGGAGUGGUCAUCUGCUUUGCACACCAAAACCUUACACUGCAGAAAUCAGACUGAUGAGCCAGAAGAAAGAAGCUGAAUAAGCCCCAAAUUGGAUAGUCUAAAUAAAAGAUCUCAUCAAUCUGAAAAUCA